rnacentral:rRNA from 1 species
AAAGCAGGGGAUCGCAAGACCUUACGCUUUUGGAGCGGCCGAUGUCUGAUUAGCUAGUUGGUGAGGUAAAGGCUUACCAAGGCUUCGAUCAGUAGCUGGUCUGAGAGGACGACCAGCCACACUGGGACUGAGACACGGCCCAGACUCCUACGGGAGGCAGCAGUGGGGAAUUUUGGACAAUGGGCGAAAGCCUGAUCCAGCAAUGCCGCGUGAGUGAAGAAGGCCUUCGGGUUGUAAAGCUCUUUCAGUCGAGAAGAAAAGGUCGCGACUAAUAAUCGCGACUCAUGACGGUAUCGACAGAAGAAGCACCGGCUAACUACGUGCCAGCAGCCGCGGUAAUACGUAGGGUGCGAGCGUUAAUCGGAAUUACUGGGCGUAAAGGGUGCGCAGGCGGCUUUGUAAGUCAGAUGUGAAAUCCCCGGGCUUAACCUGGGAAUUGCGUUUGAAACUACAAAGCUAGA